rnacentral:misc_RNA from 1 species
UGGUUACAAGGUAACAAUAUAUAUUCAAUUAAGUUUCUGAUGAUGGUUUUCUAGUUGCUGAGUGUUUGGAUGAUGGUGUUGUGCCAUGGGUCAGAGAGGUGCUGCAGAAGGUUGUCAAAAGGUCCCUUCCCAGUCACAUUGUGCUGCACUAUAAAUCCCAAAAAUGCCAACAUAGCCAAUCUCCCAUUAGCAAGUUCCUUCUCCUUGGCCUCUUCAGUUGGUGCAAAGUUGAGUGGGUUGAAAAUACCACCAGGGUAUCCACAUUUAUUAGGAGGCAAGCUGUAGUUCUUGAAGAUAGGGUCCUGGUUUACACACCCCGGGUUCUUGAUAUCCUGCCACCUCCGGAUCUCGACAUAGUGAAAGAGUAUAAAUUCAAUGACAAAGAGAGUGUUCGAGGAGGCGAAGUACUCGGCCUUGCCGGCCUCGUACCAUUUCGGCACAUUGAUGAUGCCGAUUGUCGAGAAGACCUCCGGCAGCAGCAUGCCGGCUACCCCCAGCAUUGCCCAUCGGCUGUUCACCAGCUCUGCCUGCACGAACCAUUUCAGGUUCUCGGGGUCCUCAGCGAGGCCGAGAGGGUCGAAGCCGUUGUCUCCGGCGAGGCUGCCGUUGAGGUAGCUGGGGGAUGCGAGGCCCGGGAGCCACUCGCCCUUCUUGGCUUCCACCUUGAAGGUGGAGGUGGAGGAGGUUGUUUCUGUUUUUGAGGUGAAGACUCUGGGGAGCUUGCCGGAGCCGGUGAGGAACCUCGACCUCGCCGAGCAUGGCCGGAAGAUGGCGGCUGAGGCCUGGGUGGUGACAGUCGCCAUCUCUGUAUUUUCUGACUCUCUACCAGUGCCG